GUCUUUGUAGCUCAGUCGGUAGAGCAGCAGUCUCUUGGUAUUCUUAGCCCUAGCGUAGUAUCCUUAAGCUGAAGGUCGUCAGUUCGAGUCCGACCGAAGACA